rnacentral:lncRNA from 1 species
GCGUACACCCGCAUGGUAGACCAUAGUUCCCCCGGCGCUGCUGCCCAUUAAAAAGCACUUGGAGAAGUCGACCGCGUCUUUCAGCCAGGGAUCGCGGCCAUCGACGUCGGAGGCCUGGCUGCGGGCCCAGGCGAUGGCUUCGACGGCGUCAUCGAAUGCAGACGGGAGAGGGUGUUCAGGAGCUAAACGGUAGUCGACGGAGACGAUUAUGGCUCGGAGGGAAAGAGCCAUUUCGGAACAGGUGUCGUGGUAGGGUUUGGAGGCGGCGGAGAAGAGGACGAAGCCGCCGCCGUGGAAGUAGAGGAUGAGAGCGAGGUGGGGGUUUGGGGGGAGUGGGUGGGGUUUGAAGAGCCUCAGGAAGGUUUUGGUUUCUGGGUUUAAGGGAAUGUCCUUGGAGAGGACGAGUUGGGGCGUGUUGGAGUUUGACUUGGUGCGAAAGGACUCAGCUGGUGGAGUCAGAGUUGGGGGGACAAUGGGGAAUAAUGGGGUGGCGCGGUUGAGGGAGCCGUCUGGGUUUGGGAGGAUGAAUUUGUAGAGGUCGAUGGAGGCUGCCGGGUUCGGAGAAGAAGGUUCAUCCGCCAUUGUUGUUCUGGAAUCUGGGCUCGUUCGUAUACUAGUGUAAUAUUAUGCGUGCCUGCAAAGUGUUUGUGUUACAACGUAUUUGUAGAAGAAAGCGGGGUUGGAAAUGAAGGAUCUCUCAGAAGGAUCUCUAUAGAAAAGAAGACAAUUAUGAGGUUGACAGAUACCAAUCUCUAUAGAAAAUAAGACAAUUAUGAGGUUGAUAGAUACCGUCUGCACAAAAUUGUAUGGUCGCCAGGAGAUGCGUUAAGAACUAGGGGACUUUCUUGGAUGCUAACCGUUAGAUCGUUGUUUACAAAUAUAAAAAUUAAGAUUUCUGGUCAAAACACUCGGAGUACUUAAAAGAUUUUUUUGUAGAAUUGUAUUCGGUCAUUUUCUUCACUUAAUAAUGUCUUAAUGAUUUUGAAUUUGUUUAUGUCUUUGCAAAGAUGAUCAAAUGGAAGGUGGAUUGUCUAUGUACUAAAAGAUAUACAUCUCGAAUCAUUGAAAUACAUUAAAAAGUGGAUCCCACAAAACGUGGCACAAAAGCAUGCGUUAAAAAGGUAUGUGACGGGUCUUACCCAAUAACUAUAACAUAAGUAGUUGACAAGGACAUGAUUGAUAAUUUAAUAAAUUAAUUGAGAAUUAUUAUUGGUAUUUUAAAAAGGUAAUAAAUGUUAUCUAAUUAUAAUUGUGCAAAUUCUAGAUAGAUUUAGAUUUUACAUUAUCCAUUGGUUUAGGGAAAUUUUAUUUGAACUCAUCUAACCUCUUUCUACACUCAACUUAAAUUAUAAAUGUGAAUUGUCUAUUUUAUCUUAACGCAUAAUUACCAUCAAAUAAAAGAUGAAAUUAAGAAUAAAACUAAAAUUUAUCAAUAAACUCAAACUCAAUAAUUAAGUUCUACCAGCACACAAUCUUUAUCCUACAUUCAUUUUGACUAAAUUCCUAAGAGCUACCAUAAAACCCUACGAUCACCUAAUAAUCAAAUUUGGUUGCUUUUCGUUUCCUCUCUAGCUUCAUGUUAACUAGAUCAGUAAGAGCAAUAAUUACAAGCAAUAUCACCACAAGAAACAAAAGAGUCAGAAAGCUUUCAACAAAUUGAUGCUGCUGAUCAAUUCAUCUAUUAGAAACUCGACCAAAAGAUGAAGCGAUUUUUGCAUGCUUACUCUUGUAAUCACUCCAUGUGCCAUAUGCAAACAAUCGAAGCACAUCGAGGUAGACAUAAUUUUCAGUUCCUUCAAGCUGCACAUAUUCCACAGUAAAAAAAACAAAUGCAUAUGAAACAAGACCCAGUAACAAUCAACAAUUUUAUUUUGUCUUUGGUUGCAACAAAAUUCUGAUUAUACAUCAUUUGCUCAAACCCAGAAACUACACCACCAAAAUAUACACAGAAAAAUGAAACUUCCACAAUAAAUAAAUAAAAACAUGGGAACUUGAAGAACAUUAGGGAUAGCGAUAAUUUUCGAAAAGGCAAAAAGGGCAGGGUGGGAGGUGACUUAUGCGACUAGGGGGUCGAGGGCGGAGCCAUCAAGUGAUGAGGCUUGCUUCACGAAGUGAUCAAUGACCUCAUCUUGCUUUUGCUUUCUAAAAGGGUGUAAAGAUGAAUUUUUAUAUAUUGAAUUGAGUUUAUGAGGGUAGUUUAGAUAGUAAAUUUAGGUUUAAAAAGAGAUUGAUUCUUUAAUUAAGAAUAAUAUGGGUGUAAAGAGUAAGUUGGGUGUAGAAAAUGGUUGUAUGGGUUCAAAUAAAAUUUAUCUUACUUUAUUGAUUCUUUUUCUGUAUGAUUGUUCUUAUUUGGAGGGCAAUUUAAUCCUCUCUUGUUGGUUUACUAUAAACAAAAGCACUGUAUAGGGAGAACCACAACAAUCUCCAAGCAUUCUACAAUUUCUCCACUAUCUCUAUUGAUGUCACGCCCUCUCUCCCUCAGAUAAAAUAGGUCACAACACGUUAUCAACGCGCUCCUAAGCUGUGCUACAAACCAAUUCACCAAUAUCAUCAACUAAUUUAGGUUCUUCUAAAACACUGUCUUAAUAGUUGAUAUUUUUCAACCAUAAUUGCAUGAACCUUUACAUAAUGCAUGAACCCAACUUUACGCUUUCCGAAUAAUUGUAUUUGCAUUAUAUUUAAAAUAUUUUUAUAUUUUAUGAAUUAGUGUUGUGAAAGGAAAAAAACAAAGUUUAGGGUUUUGAAAAAAAAUUCCGAGCAACCCGCAGCUGCCGCUGAGCCACUCAAGCAGCAACACCAGGCUAGCAGCCGGCGAAGCUUAGCCAAGCCAAGGAGCCAUCUGGUCCACCGGAGAACCAGAAUGAUGUCGUUUUGGCAUUGUCCCCUCCCCUCCCCCCAAACCCAGAUCUGCUCACCUAAACUACGCUCACUGCCACACCAAUUUUUUUGGAAAAUCACGACCUUCAAUCAUGUUCUUGGACUGAACUCUUCAACAAUGUUGUUCAAAAUUUCAGAAGAAUUUCGUCUAAUCCCUACGGUUCUCUACAUCCCCGACGUUGAAACCAACUUUCUAUCGAAAACCUAGGGUUACAGUUAAACCAGUGGCUCGCCUCGAUGUACCCACACCCAGCACCGCUUGGGUGGUCUAGAUCGAACCCUAGCCCCACUGGGAUGUUUAAUAGAACCUGAAUGUCCUACUCCUUGGGUAUGGAUUGAUACAUUUUUGUCCCCAUUCCACUAACCAAACUCUUGUCCUUUUUUUUUUUUUUUGACAGGGACAUGCUGAAUUGGACAAACUUAACUUUAUCGCUUUGGAAGUCUCUGAAAGAAAUUACCUAAAGUGGGUCCAAGAUUGGAAGCUCCAACUCGCCACUAAAAACCUUAGAGCUACCAUAAAAGCUGAGACGGAUGUUCCAGUUGGUGAAGCUGACAAAGCCACCACCUUGACUUCAUACGAAGGCAUAUGCAUGACGUAUUGCAAACCGAAUACCUCGAUGAGAAGGAUCUACGAAGAUUUAUGGAUCGCUUUUAAAUUUUGUGAAUUUGGAUAUUUAAUCAAGUUGAUGUUGAAAUGUUACCUACUGAAGUUAACAUGAAUUUUACUUUUUGAGUACAUGGACUGCUGAUAUGGAAGGUAUGGAAUAAAUAUCUGGAUUAUCCUCUAAAUCAGGAUUAGUUUUGUCUUAGAUAUGCAUAUAGUCAUUGUCAAUUGUUGAAUUUAAACUUACAACUAUAUCGAUCAGUGAUUAAUGCUUAAUAUUUUCAAAUUUUAAAUUUAUCAUAGAUAUUUCUACGAACAAUGACAUUACUAGUACUGUUGCUGCUUAUUUUAUCUGACAAAGGGAAGAGGGCCGGCGGCAAGGGUAGAGAGAGAGACGAGAGAUGUGUUUGUAAAAUUGUAGAGGAAUUGUGUAUUAAGGAUGUUGCUAUCCCCCCUACGUAGUGCCUUUAUUUAUAGUCGUAAAAGGAGAGAAGAAAUCAUUCAUCCCCAAGGAAAACAAGUCCAAAUAAGAAAGAAUAACUAGAAUCAAAUAUAAUCUAGGAUUUACACAAUCAUACUUAAACUAAGGAAGUUCACAACACUCCAUCUUGAGUGUGUAAAUAGUCAAGGUAGAUCAAGCAUCAUGCAGAAGUUAAGGAAGUCGACUCGUCGACACUAAUUCUAAGGAACAACACUUAUUCUCAAUGAGGUAGGAACUUGCAUAAAGUAGUAAGUCUCACUAAAAAACCCUAAGGCUAUGGCAAAAACCCGAGUAGGGACAAAAUCCAUAGUCUAAGGAAAAAUGAGUGAGAAAUGCAAAGUCAAAAGAAACGUCUACAGGACAUCGUCAGGGAUAUGAUAAACCCAAGGUGGGUACCUCAAUAAAACCUAGUUAGGUAGCAAAACCCCAAUGGGAAAAAUGCUACUAAUUGUAGGGAAAAAGAAGUACAUUAAGAUCAAGCAAGUAUGCUUCCAGAUAUUCCCCCUGAGUUUGACACAAUUCCAAAGAGAAAUAGCAAUGUUACAACUCAGAAAGUUUAUGUUUAUCAAUUCCUUGAACAUACUUCUGAAAUGUCGCCUUCAAUAGUGAAGAGGUCGGCCAGAUUGUCUUGUGAAUAGAUUUGUGUGACUUCAAUCUUUUGAUACUCUUGUUGUUGAUGUGAAAAGAAGAACUUCGGCGCAAUGUGCUUGGUGUUGUCUUUUUUUAUGUAACCCUUCUUGAGCUGUUCGAUGCAUGCUGCUUUGUCUUCAAAGAUCGUCGUAUGGAAAUCUACGGUGGGGUAGAGAUCGCAGAAGCUUCGAAUAUGGCCCAUAACUGCUCUCAACCAAAAGCAUUCCCAAGUUACUUCAUGUAAGGCGAGAAUUUCAGCAUGGUUAGACGAAGUGGCAACUAAAGUCUAUUUAGUUGACCUCCAAGAGAUUGUGAUGCCUCAAACGGUAAAGACAUAACCUGUUUGAGAACGUACCUUGUGUGGAUCAGAUAAGUAUCCUGCAUGGGCAUAACCAACAAGGCGAGAAUCAACUCAAGAGGCAAAGGAUACAACAUCACUCGAGGAUCCAUAGGGAUAGAACAAGCCCAAAUCUCUAGUACCCGUAAGGUAACAGAAGAUGUCUUUCACACCAGUCCAGUGUCUGCAUGUUGGUGCAUUACUGUAUCUUACCAAAAGAUUAACAGCAAAUGAGAUGUUAGGUCUGGUGCAUUGAGCUAAGUAUAAUAAAGUUCCUAUCGCACUUAGAUAAGGAACUUCAGGCUCCAAAAUCUCUUCAUCAUCCUUAUUUGAACGAAAAUGAUCUCAUUUUGCAUCUAGCGAUUAAACAACCAUACGAGUACUCGAAGGCUUCAUUUUAUCCUCGUUAAAGCGGCGCAACACCUUUUGGUGUAGUUCGUUUGAUGUACUAGGAUUCCAUUUGAACGGUGUUCUAUCUUGAUAUCUUUGAUCUCAAAUUCCGACUUCAGGUGCAUGGCAGUUCUGACGAGCUCUUCAAGAGUUCCGAUAAGGUUCAUGUCAUCGACAUAUAAUGCAACUAUCACAAAACCAAAAUGUGACUUCUUAAUGAACACAUAAGGGCACAAUUCGUUGUUUACAUAUCCUUGACUAGUCAAAUACUCACUAAGAUGGUUACACCACAUUCUUUCGGAUUGUUUCAAAUCAUAAAGUGAACGCCUCAACCGAAUUGAGAGCGUGUUCCGGGGCUUGGAAAUAUUUGAUCUAGUCAAUGUAAGUCCUUCGAAAACUUUCAUAUAGAUUUCCGUAUCAAGAUCCUUAUAGAGAUAUGCAGUUACUACGUCCAUCAACUGCCAAACUAAUAAGGUAGCGAAAAGUAAUCACAUCCAUAACAAGUGAAUAAAUUUUGUCAUAGUCAAUUCCAGGGCGCUGUGAGAAGUGUUGUGUAACAAGAUGAGCUUUGCAACACAUAAUUUUGUUCUUCUCAAUACGCUUCCGAACAAAAACCCACUUAUAGCCAACAAGCUUCACAUGUGGAGGAGUAAGAGCUGCAGGUCCAAACAUCUUAUGUUUCGCAAGCGAAUCGAGUUCGACUUGGAUUGCUUGUUUCCAGUUUGACCAAUCAGUUCUACGUCGACAUUCAUCAACGGAACGAUGUUCAAUGUCAUUGCUCAACAUGAUAUCAGUAGCUACUGCAUAUGUUAAAGCAUUGUCAACAAUCAUCUCAUUUCUACACCACACAUCAUCUAAGCUAGCAUGAUAGACCAAAAUCUCACGAUUCUCGAAAGGAGGAUUCGUCUAUUUAAGGACGCUUCCGUAAUCUAGAAUUUCCUCAUGAGUUGGAUAAAAUGAGUAGGCGACAAUUGGAUUCAUGGUAGGCUCUUCAGAAGCCUAUGUUGUGGGUUUCCUCUUUCGAGGGUGUGAAUCCUUUGAAGUAAGAGGUCUGCCACACUUUUGUGUAAGGGCAGAUGAUUAGCUAGCCAUUAAUGUAUGUGGAUCACCAAGAUUGAUGUCCCGGGCCUCCAGGAAGGAAGUCCUUCGUACAUUUGGUACAUCCAUCUUUGCAGGCACAUUCGCAGUUAGAAUAUGUGAUAUUGUCACUCGCGCUAGAUCUGUGAGAGCAUCUAGCAUGCUCUAAAGAUCUAAUAUACGCUGCACUUCAGUUUCAGACUGAGCAGUGUGGGGAUCUAAAUGAGACAAAGUGGGAGUCAUCCAUGAUAAUUUGCGUCGUUCUUCAGGAACGUUGACGUUCUUAUCUCCCCCUAAUGGCGGGAAGACUGUCUCAUAGAAGUGACAAUCCGUGAAACAAGCGGUAAAUAAAUCGCCUGUCAAAGGUUCUAAGUAAUGAAUAAUCGAAGGAGAAUCGUAUCCAACAUAGAUUCUCAUCCUUCGCUAAAGUCUCAUUUUUGUACGUAAGGGCGGCAAAAUCGGCACAUAGACCGCACAACCAAAAGUGCGCAGAUGCGAUAUGUCAGGUUCGUAUCCUAUAACCAACUGAAUGAUGUUAUAUGGUUGGGUCGCAAUAGGCCUUAAGCGAACCAACAUGGCUGCAUGCAAUAUUGUAUGGCCUUAAGCAACGAUCGGAAGCUUGGUAUGUAUAACCAACGAUCGAGCACUCAUUUGUAAGCUCUUAAUGAAUGCCUUUGCCAGGUCAUUCUGAGUGUGAACAUGGGGUACUGGAUGUUCAACUUCAACCCCAACCGACAUGCAAUAGUCAUCAAAAGUUUUAUAUGUGAAUUCUCCAGCAUUAUCCAAUCGAAUAGAUUUGAUCGGAUAAUCAGGGUGGUGAGCCCUGAGCUUGAUAAUCUUUGCCAACAGUUUGGAGAAUGCAGCAUUCCUUGCGGACAACAAGCACACGUGUGACCAACGUAUGGAAGCGUCAACCAAAACCAUAAAAUAUCUAAAUGGUCCACAUAGUGGGUGAAUAGGUCCACAAAUGUCCCCGUGAAUCCGUUGUAGAAAAAUGGGAGGAUUCGAACGAAUCUUGUCAUAAGAAGGCUUAGUAAUAAGCUUUCCCAUAGAACAUGUUUGACAUGCGAUUCCUUGAAUUGAACCUAAACUUCGGGUUAGUGGAUGCCCGUGUGAUGAUUUGAGGAUACGACGUUUUGUUAUUCAUCCAAGAUGUCCCAAACGAUCAUGCCAAAGUGUAAUUUCAUGCGCGAUCCCAAAGGUAGGGUUAGCCACAUAGUGGCAUUCUAUAGGGCGUAUGGUCAUAUUGUUGGAAAUGUGCCCUAAAGCCAAUCAUAUGAUGAUACUUUACGGACAUUUCACAUGUUAAACUAAUCUAGUUUAAUAUAAAAGGCAAAUAUUAUUGUUUAAAGUCACCUCAUAUAAAUGUUAUAUGCUUAAACGAUAAGUCGAAGGAAUAUGUAAUUGGGAGAAUGUGAUCUAAAGAAGUUAGAUUCAUGAGACCAUUCUCUUUUGUAUACACACCUUAAAUGUUCCUUAUCAUAGGAUUGCCAAUUGGGCAUUGACAGUCCGUUAAGAUCAGUAUGUGCUAUGUCUUCUCUUAGGGAUAGUGAAUGGUCUCGAGUCAUUGGUGUGAUUGACAUCAAGACAAGCAUGUAGGUGCUCAAUGGAGAAUGAGUCCAGUGAACACGAUCAACAAGGAGUUCUCAUACUCAUGUCACAUGAGAACUCAUGGUUGGGAUAAUGCAAAGUAGUCUUUUGACUUGAGGCAUCAUAGUUGUCUUGUGGUUAAGUCCUUGAUCUUUGAACUAUAUCAAAGUCAUUCCGUCAGAGGGUGUCCACGACAUAGUUGGGGUCAAGCCACUUAGCAAUGGUGGCAAGUGAAUGCGCAACAAGGGAUCUCUAACCUUCAAAUCGUUUGAGGGAGAAUACUUUAUCAUAUAAUUAAGAAUCUCUAGCCGGAGUAUGAAUGAGAUUUGGGAAGUCGUUCUAAAUCACGUUCAAGGUAAUCAUAUAAGUAAGAGAAUCACAUUGGAUAGUAGACGUGAAUAAACUAUCAAACCAAAAAAUGUGGUCAAGAGUGUUGUAUUAGAGAAAGACCGUAUUGUAUUGUAAUCCUAAAGUGAAUAGGUUCUCCACCUCUUCUGAUUAGCUUGGGUAGCCAUGACAUACUGCUACGUGUCACUUAUGGUUUGUGGAAGCCCUAAAGGUGUAUAAUCACUAAAGGGAGAAUUGAAAAUAAGUUUCAAUUCAUAAUUAAAUGGUUUAAUUAUUUAUGGCUAGGAUUAAUUAAUAUGUUAAUUAAUCAAACGAAUAUGUUCAUUAUAGACCCCGAGUUAGUUUUGGGCCGCAAUGCUUAAUAGGAUUUGAAUGUCAAGCCCAUUAACUCAAGUUGUAUGACAACUUGAAAACACAAAGGGCUUGAAAGCCCAAUGAACCUUUAAGGCCGGGCACAUUAGAGGAUGAAGGGUUUUGGUUCUUUUGUCACUUAAUUGAAAAGACUAUAUAAAGAACUUUAUAGCAUUUCAUCAUUAAGGUUUCUUUUGGAGAAAAGAUGAGAACACAAAAGAUCUCUUUUCUCUCUAAGAGGCCAGCCACCCUAGAGGAACAUAGCUAGCAAUCUUCCUUCCUCUAGGUCACUCAUCUCUUCAUCAAUGCUCUCCUUGGUGUUGAGACUUAGAGGUUCUCUAUUUUGGAAACUUGGAGAAUCCAUUCAUCCAUCCUCCUCCACGAAAUCCAUAGAGCUAAGAAGAAAGGAAUGAAGGCCCUCUCUCUUGGGUGAUUAUCCUUUGCUUAUGUAAAGAGGAAUCAACAAAGGUAUAAAUUUCUCAACUCACUUGUUCUUGAGUUGAGUCUUGGUUCACCAUAAUUACUAGGCGUUGAAUUUUAUGGGUAAAGUUUUGUUUUUGAGUGCAUACAAGCAUGAUUCCACCUUUUAAUUGUUAAUUGCAUGCAUAGAUGUUGCUCAAAUAAACUAGUUUUCACAAAUAUUUCCUUCACGUAUUAUACAAACCACACAGGAUACGCUCCAUCUUCUUUAGAAUACACUUUUGGCCAUAUUCAUAGGAUUAUGCACAAAAAUUCAACUCCGUUUUCUACAUGGGUUUCAGUGUGGUAAUUGUUAUCUCUAAUGUCUUUAAAGCUCAACAACGUUCUUCCGGAACGUGGAGAAUAAAGAGCAUCAUCAAUGGUCAAGAUUGUACCACUGGACAACAUUAUGCGUGCCUUACCGUAUCCUUCAAUCAGGUUGGAUGGGCCUGAGAAGGUUGUCAGAGGUACAUUCUUAAGUAUGAAGUUAGUGAAAUAGGUGAGUUCAUGCAAAACGGUGUGCAUGGUUACACUAUCUGCCAGAUAACUAACUUCCCCACUACUCAUACCUAGAAUGAAAAAUUAAUUUGAAUCAGUCACAUGCAUAAAAGUUCUAGAAAACAAAUAUCCAUUCAAGAUAAUUUUAAGUAUUCAAGGACAUAAAUUAAUUAAAACUUAAUAUCCAAAAAACAAAUCACCAACAAAUGAUCCAAACAUAAAGGAACAUUGUUCAAAAUUGAAUAAAAAACAAGAGGGGGGUUUCGACCACUACUGUGGAAUUUGGCCCCAUGGUCUUAUUUCUACUAAAAACUAAGUCUAUGUCUAAGAUUCUAAUCUUCCAUAGGUGUGAUAGCCUCUUGAAAGUCAGAAACAUUCAUCUUUGUACUCUUCAGAUCGUUCACUUGCACAAAGUUUGAUUCAAACUUCUUACGAAGAGAAUGAUAUUCAGCUACAACCUUUUGGGGAGCUCGGAAAACACGGGACCAAUGGUCAUUUGAACCACAGCGAUAACACAUAUCUGCAUCCAUGGUUUCAGGUGCUUUGCUCGUAUUCUUAAAGUUUGGGGCCUUAGGAGCGAGGUUUGGGCCCUUCUGGGCUUUGUUUCCUCCCUUGGAUGGGCCUUGACUCUGUUGACCUUGUUGGGAUGACUUUUGACCGCCCCUACCAAGCCUUUUUGGUGUUUCGGGUGUUGGUUUAUGCUAUAGUGUGUUUCAGGUACCGCAGUCGCCCUAGUAGGUCGAGCUUGAUGAUUAUUCAUCAACAACUGGUUCUGUUUUUCAGAGAGAAGUAAAACAAAGAACAAAUCCGAGAACUUAGUGAACUUUUGAGCUCUAUAUUGUUGCUACAAGACAAUAUUAGUAGCAGAGAAGGUCGAAUAAGUCUUUUCCAGGAGAUCUUCUUCGGUCAAAGUUUCAUUACAAAACUUGAGAAGUGAUCAGAUUCAACAAACUUCAUAAUUAUAUUCAUUCAUAAACUUAAAGACUUGGAAACACAAAUGUUACCAGUCAUAUCUUGCUUCAGGUAAAAAAUGUCUUUUUGGUGAUUAAAACGAUCAGCCAAAGCGACCCAUACUGCUCGUGGAUCAUCCUCAACGAGAUAUUCAGUUUGCAAGGCGUCGUGGAUAUAUCUUCAGAUGACGAUCAUAGCGGUGGCUUUCUCAACUUCAUCAACAGGGUUGUCCGUCUCAUCUUCAAUGGCGGGAUGUAAAUUCUUUGCAAUAAGGUGGAGCUUCACAUCUUUGACCCACUUGAGAUAGUUCAUUCCAGAGACCUCCAAAUCGGUAAAGUCAAGUUUGUUCAAAUUUGACAUGUUCCUAUCACAAAAUAAAGGACAAGAUGUGAUUAGUGCAAUGGAGAAAAAAAAAUCAAUUCAUUCACGUAGGAGUAGAAUAUUCAUGUUCUAAUAGACAUGUAUUAGUUAAUAUUCGCAUGAAAAAACUUCAAGUUUUCAUGGGUGAUGUUUUUAAGUGAAAAACUUCAGGUUUUCAAACAAGGCAUGUUUAUAGAAACUUCAUGUUUCGAAAUAAUUAUGAACUUCAAGUUCAUAUGUUCCUGCAGAUAAACACAAAUAUAUACACAAAAAUAUGCAACAAGAAAAUAUGCAAAUAAAACUUCAGGUCUAAAAUUAUAAUUGAAUUAAUUAUUUGAACUUCGGGCCAAAUUAAAAGUGUGGGUGAAAAUAUAAAACCCAUUGGGCCUAAAAAUAAUUAGGCAAUUAAACUCGGGGCCCAAAAUAAGGCCUAAGCCCACAGUUGGGUUAAAUAAAUGGGGGUCGUGCAUCCUAGGCCCAAAGCUGGGUGAGUUUGGCCUCAGGUGGGCUACAAGCCUAAGGGGAGAGAGGGAAAAAGGGACGGGCUAAAGUAUCAGACUGCUUCAGGCGAGUCCAAUAAUUUUUUUUUUUCGCGGGCCGAUCAAACGGUUUUGGGCCAAUACAGGUGAGCCACAAAAAAGGAAAAAAGAGAGAGGAGGCCGAGUAACAAAGCCCAAAUAGGGCUCGGGUUAGGUCCAAAGACUCCCCAACCACAGUUGGGUGUGUUCGCAGGGGAAGUAGGUCGGCGCCGCCGCUUCAGGCAGUCGUGCUUUGGGAUAGUGAUGCUCGGAGUGAGUCUGUGGAGUCAAGGGAGACCACAAAUAUGAACGGAGAUUUGAAAAAUCUCGAUGUUCUACCAAAACCCUAGAAAUACAAAUAAGAAAAUUGGAAAUUUUCUAACGAGAUUCAAGAGAAUCUAAGUCAAUUUGUGUCAGGGACAAACUGCAGGUCAUCAAAACACGAUGAUCCAUGGGUGAGGAUUAGCUGCAGGCCAACCUGUAACGAUGGAGGUGCCAUGGAAGGUGUCGAUGUUUCUGGGUUUCAAGCCUGGAGCCCUCAACUCCAGGUUGGGGACUCGUGGCUCGACUCGGCCACCCAAGCUACAGGCUUGGUUCAAUGGCUCGAGGUCAUGGGUUCGAAUAACCCAGGCCAUGUUUCCGAUUUCUCUCUCUUUUUUUCCCCUUUUUUUUUUCAAUUCAAUUCAAUUUUAUGCAUAUUGAAUUCAAUAAUAUAAUGCAUGUACAUAUAUAUGAUGCAAUUCAUGGCAAAUAUCAAAUUCACAUAAUUCAACAAUUAUGAGUAUAAUGCAUACACAAUUUAUGUAAAAUCUAAAAUUCGAAAAAUGUAAAGUUUGGUCAUGUAUUAUGGUGAAUGUUCAUGCUAUUAGGGCUGCAAAAAUAUCGAGAUAAAAACCAUUGUUUUGAAAGAACCUAAAUGUGUGAUGAUAUGGAUGAAUUGGUUUGAUGCAGAAAAAUCUUCAACGUCAAAUUCUUAAGCGCAGCGGUAGGAUCGUGCUGAUAACGUGUUGUAGCCUAUUUUAUCUGACAAGGGGAAGGGGGUUGGCGGCAAGGGUAGAGAGAGAGGAGAGAUAUGUUUGUAGAAUCGUAGGGGAAUUGUGUAUUGAGGAUGUUGUUAUCCCCUCUACGUAAUGCCUUUAUUUAUAAUAGUAAAAGGAGAGAAGAAAUCAUCCAUCCCCAAGAAAUAAAAGUCCAUAUAGGAAAGAAUAACUAGAAUCAAAUCUAAUCUAAGAUUUACACAAUCACACUUAAACUAGGAAAGUUUGUAGCAAGUACUUAUAUGUUAUAAAAUGAGUAAAUUAAUGCCUCUUAGUGCUACGGUCUGGUGGUAUUCCUCUUCACUUAUAAGUGAGAGAUCUUAGGUUUGAUUCUUGCCAAAGGCGAUUUUGAACCACAUUAUUGCUAGCUCAUUGUGAGGCUAGGCCUACCCCUCCCCCUUAGUGUAGAUGAUGAUAUCGUUUGUUCAAAAACAAAACAAAAAAAAACAAAUGUUAGCAUGUAAUUUGCUUGAAACGAGAGCAUGGGAGUUCGUCUUUGUAUAGUAAAAUCUCUCUAAAGUAAUACUUUAUAAUGAAAUAACCUCCUUAAAGUCAUAAAAAGUUAUCAUCCCAACUUGGGAUCAAUUUUGUAUUGAAAUAAACUUCAUAUUGUAUAAGUUAUAAUUUUUCUUGGUCUCAUCUAAGUAAAACGCCUCCACAUAAUUACAAUUGUCAAUGAGUACAAAAUAUGGAAGAAAAAAAAAAUACUUGGCACCCAGGGAAUCCUAUUUAAGAAUAAAGCAUUCAUUAAGGAUAAAUAAGUCAAUAAAUAAUAGUUCAAUUAUGUAUUGAAAUAAACUCCAAAUUGUAAAAAGUUAUCACUUUUCUUGGUCUGAUCUUAUAGAAACAUGCCCACAUAUAGUUAUAAUUAACAAUGAGUACAAAAUGUGCAAGAAAUUAAAUAUUUGGCGCUCAAGGAAUCCUACUUAGGAAAUGCAACAUUCUUUAAAGAUAAAUAAGUCAAUAACUAAUAUUUUUUUAAUUAUUUCUCUAUUAUGUAAUAACAUCUCUAAAAUUAUAAAAUUGGUUUGAUCCCAACUGUUUUAGUUUGGUGGAGUUUUACUGUAUUGAAAACCCUAGGAGGUGUCUGGCUCUAGCGAGUAGCAUAAGAAGUUGUCAAGUUGUUUGGGUGAUGUUCGACCAUUUAUUUAUGAUCAUUAGGAAGAUAAACGAUUUAGAAAUUGGAAUGGUGGUCGGCGGAUGCAAUGUUUGCUUUAUAUGUCCAAGGAAUUGUUAUUAGGGGACAUUUGGCAUUCUGUUUGAAUACAACUAUUUCAACUCAAAGUUAGAGUUCACAUUAAUACUUACUUAAUUAAAAAUUAUCAGCAAAAUUUAUUAACAAAAUAUAAUUUAAAUAGAAGGACCCGUAACAUUAUCCUUUAUUUUAAUUUAAUCAUUGGAUAUGCUUUGACGCGGCUGAAACUCCUUACCAGCAAAAUUAACAUCAACCAAAAUGGCGUUUUCUAAUAAGCCACGUCAGCUUCUUAGCCUUCUCUCUCACAUCGCCGACUUUGAAACGACAAUAUUAUCACCGUCGUAUGCAUCGCACGACUCGAUAAAAUCCCUAAGAAUGUCGUACAGAGCUUGGGCCUUGCUAGGGUCGAAGAGCUCCACGCCAUGAAAACCCCCCUCGUCAAACUUGGCCACCACGUGCGCCCCACGUGACUCAAGUAACGCCACAAACUCCUUCUGCCUAUCCAUCAGCGGGUCCCCCCCGUACCCUCUUACCAAACACCUCGGCAACCGUUCGAUCCUCCCAUCCCCACCUCCCGCCGUCGGAUUACAAUACUCGUGAUCCCGAUCAACACCCUUUGGCAAAGCCAUGCCCCACAUCAAGUCGUUGGCGACCAGCGGCAAUAUCCGGUCGUUGAUCAACCUCGUCUCGGAUUCAGUCCUAUGGACCCCGCCGAAAUAAGGCUGGUUUAGAAUCAGCCCUCGGAUCUUCAUCGGCAAGAGAUCAUCACCCGAGACGCGUAAACCCGCGUGGUAGGCGAUGUUAGCUCCGGCGCUGCUGCCCAUUAGGAAGGACCUGGAGAAGUCAACGGCGUCUUUCAACCAGGGAUCGCAGCCGUCGACGUCGGAGGCCUGGCGGUGGACCCAGGUGAUGGUGUCGACGGCGUCAUCGUAGGCUGAAGGAAGAGGAUGUUCGGGAGCCAAGCGGUACUCGACGGAGACAAUUAGGGCUUGGAGAGCCAGGGCCAUGCGAGAGCAGGAGUCGUGGAAUGGUUUGGAGGCGGCGGAGAAGAGGACGAAGCCGCCUCCGUGGAAGUAGAUGAUGAGAGGGAGGCGGGGGUUUGGGGGGAGAGGGUGGGGUUUGAAGAGCCUGAAGAAGGUUUUUGUUUCUGGGUUUAAGGGAAUGUCCUUGGAGAGGACGAGUUGGGGAGAGUUGGAGUCUGACUCGGCGGCCGUGGCGGAAAUGGACUCGGUGGGGGUGGGAGUUGGGGAGACGGUGGGGAAAGGGGUGAAGCGGGUGAGGGAGCCAUCAGGGUUGGGGAGGAUUUUGAGGAGUUUGUAGGGGUCAAUGGAGGUUGGGGAUGAAGAAGGUUGAUACGCCAUGGAUGUUGUUGAAACUCGCAGAUGAAGCGUUUGUGCAAAUGCUUAGCUGAAAGAAGAGGGUUUAUAAGUUUAUAUGUGGAAGACAAUGAGUGACGAGUGACGAGGUAAUAGUGGGAAAAAUGGUUAGGUGUUUGGUGAAGAAAAUUAAAGUGAAGACUUGGGGACUACCUGUUUUAGUUGCAUGCUAUUGAAUUCUCGACCUAAAAGUGAACUGAUUAAUUGAUUGGGAUUCAGUUGGGUUUGCACGCGGGUGGGGAUAUGUGUGUUAACAUCCAAAUUUCACAAGUAAGGAGUGAGGUGCUUAAAAAAAAAAAGCACCCAUAAAAAAAAAGUUGUGAAAGUUUUAGGUGUUUGGUAAACUGAAAAAAAAAAUACUUAUUUUGGAAGCUGCUGUGAGAAUAAGCUGAAAUCAAAGGAAAAAGCUGAAGCUGUUAUUUGUAGUUUUGGAAAACUGGCUUUUUUUCAAAGCACACGGAGCUACAAUGCUCCUUUAAUGAAAAGACUCACUAUCAGACUGCUUUUUUUUUCCAAAAGCACUUUUACAAAAAAGUUUACCAAACACUCUGCUGAUUUAUUUCACAGCCGCUUAUUCUCACAGCACAGCCGCUUAUUCUCACAACAGUUUUUUUUUAAAGCACAGCAAUACCAAACCAGCCCUUAGUAUUACGAUCUCGUGAUAUUUCUCUUUAUUUUUAAAUAAAAAAUUUUAGGUUCGAUUAUCGCAAAAAACAAAUUUGAACCAUAUUAUUACUAGUCCGUUGUGAAACUUAAUUCACCCACUCCUUAGUGUAGGUAUAUCGUUCGUUCGAAAAAAAAAAAAAAAAAAGAUCCCACAAAGGUUAACAUGCGGCUUGUAAUCAGUAUCGGAAGGAGAGGGGGGAGUGGGGUAGGGUGGAAUGAGAAGCUUCACCCACUCUUCUUAGUGUACAUAUAUUGUUUGUUCGAGAUAAAAAAAAACAGAUCUCACAAAGAUUAACAUGCGGCUUGUAAUCAGUAGCGGAAGGAGAACAUGACCCCAACAACUUUAUAUUAUUACUCCACACAAUUUUGCUAUUAAUCCCCAUAUACCCCAAUAAGAAUUUCCAAUAAUUAGGUUCAGUUUAAGUUUAUGUCUGCAUGCCUUUGAUUUCUGUCAUUUAUCAAAACACACAUUUUUUUUUUGAAAGAUAUCAAAACACUAUUAAUCAAUAAUAUUUCGUAGUGAGUUCAAUCAAUUUGAUUUUCAAAUUAUUAUCAUAGUUUAAUGAUUGAAUUAUUAUUUAAACGUUGAUUAAUGUGCUUAUUUUCUAUUGGUGGCAGAUCAUUUGAUUUUCAAAUUUGUUAUAAUGAAAGUAAGACAAAAUACAUGGAAAAGAAACGGUCGACUUAGUCUUUUAAAAAAAAAAAUUUAUUAUCAUAGUGUUUGGCCCCAAAAUAUUAUUUUGGGCUGAGCCUGGGAUUAUUCUCGGCCCAGUAGAGUUUAUCUAGAAUUUUCUUGUGGGCCGUCCAGUUAAGGUCGGCCAAAUCUUGUUGCGAGGAGGAUUAGUUUAGAUAAGGGUGAAGUAGUCGACUCCUAGUGCAGCAACGAGUCUUAAAGCUAAUCAGGAGAUGAAUCUGAUUUGUUAUGGAGUUUGGUUCAAAGUCAUAUUGGAGCUAGGACUGGCCGAAACCUAAUUAGAUAGGGUUGAGGAGUUCUAAUCCGAGUACAUUUCUAGUUCAGUUACGAGGGGGUUUUGCUGCUAUAAAUAGAGAAAGAAGUGCAUCAUUCAAAACCCUCUCCAAUUCAACACAUAAAAUUGCCCUGCACAAAGUUUCUCAACAACCUUGAGAUUUUAUCUUCUUCCCCUUUCUUCCUGCCAACACAUCUUCAGUUUGGAUAAACAACACUGUGAAGGUAACCGGCGACAUCUUUAGUUUGGAUAAACAACACUGGAGUCAUAGAAUCAACCGAUAAAGGAGCACCUUCAUAUUGGUUAGACAUCACUGCUUUAAGGCCGACUGGUUAUUAUCCAAGUCUCGGUUGACAAGGAUUCUUAAGUCCUUGAUGGUAGAGGUCAUCUAUUAGGCUUGGCACAUUGAACGCCAAGUUUGUUUUAUGAUUGGGUACUCACAGGUACAUUUUAGAGUUCGGCAUUCUGACGACCGAACCACGUUUACCAUCAAGACAUUUAUCUCAUUCGAGUAUUUGUGUCUGUAUAGUCUGGUGCCAGUUCAGCGUGUUUAUACUCUUACAAAUAUAAUCACCAUAAUCGAACCCAGCGUCGACGAUCCGUGAACUUCGUAAGACUAGCAGCCUUAUCUUCAAGCUCUAGAACUCAAAGGCCGAGACGUGUUCCUUUCUCGACUGCAAUCGCAAGAUCGAGAAGUCAGGAGUGCUCUCAAUUUAACAUCAGCAUAUUUUACUCUCCGGUCGAGCUCGGUCGUCGAGUUGGCAUGCCCCGCACAUAACUGAAAGACGUAAUUAGCUCAUUAGUUACUCGGCCUGCGCGCCACGUAGGCUUGGUAGUUUUUAGGGUCAACACAUAAGAAGAGCAGAAUUUUGAACCCAUAAAACAUAGGCGUAAACCCUACACCCUAGCCACUAGGAUAUUAGACCAUAUGCACAAUCGACUCAGUCCCACAUCAAAUGAAGUCCACCGAGGUCAAGCUUCUUAAAAGUUAACUCUGAUGGGUCUAUAGUUGGUGAAAAGACUAUUGCAAAGGUUUGUUAUCAGGGUUUCUUUUCAAUCAAUCUCUUGGAAACAUAUCUUUGGAGAGACCAAUUUCCUUGCAGAUUUUGUCACUAGUGUGGGACUCAAUAUUAGUGAUACUUAUAUACGAGAUCAUACCUCCCUACAAAUGCUAGGCAUGCUCUUAUAUUUGAUCUUUUUGGAACUGGUUGUACUCAACAAUUUUCUGAAGAAAAGAUGCACGGGCCACUAUUUCUCUUAUAUACGCUACGCUAUUUGAAGAUAAUGAUUUGAAUGCCUAUCCCCUACCUAUGCACUUUCCUUUACUACCUUGAAGUGGAUCUCCUAUCUAUAUUCGACAGCUUGAAGAGGGAAGAAGAAGUAAAGCGAAUGCUCGUUCUGUUGGAACUCUCGAUCUGAUCUUGAAACAGGGGAAGGGAGAUCGAUCUCAAUCUCUCGAAUCCUUCUCUCCUUCCCAACGUUAUUUGUCCAAGGGGAAAAGGCUUGCAAACAGUAUUUUUUUGAAAAAAAAAACACUAUGUUUCUUCCUUUGUUACUAUAAUGAAAAUUAUAGUUUGUCAACCAAAACGUAAUUAUAAUUUUAAUUUUGCACGUUAGCGGAAUACAUGUGGCAUGAAAAAAAGUUAGACUGUUAAAAUGAGAAUGUAACUGAGGAUUGAAAGCACUUUAUAGAAAGAAAAUGAAUGAUUAUGCGAUAUUUACUCGUUGCUAGGCCCGAAUUAAACUAGCAUAAUUUCUCCUUUAAAGAAUUGGGCCUCCAUCCUCCCCAGUCUAUGGUACCCCAACUCAAUAAGAAAACAUUAAGAUGUGUUGGACCAAGGUGAUGAAACCCAAAGAUGCCAACCACCAACCAUACGUCUAAUAACGAAGGAAGCUUAAAACAUCUUACAACAUCAUUACUAUUUAAGUCCCCCAAAAUAGGGAUCAUUCAGUAUUAAGGUCUAAUGGUAUUUCUCUUCAUUUGUAAGUGAAAGGUCUUACGUUCGAACCUCGUAAAUGACAAAUUCGAUACCAAAUUAUGUUACCCAUUACGUGGCUUAGCCAAUCUCCUCCCUACCAUAGUGUAAAAUAUAUUGUUGUACUUAUAAAAACAAAAAAGGCCCCCAAAACAGAGAUUUUCGUAUAUGUUAUACACCAAGAUUUUUGUGUAAUUAAAUUAUUGGUCAAAGAUCAAUACUUAAAGAUCCAAUGCUUAGGAUCUAAUGUUAAAAAGACCCAUAGUGUAUUUUUACUCACACCUCUAAAGUAAGGGUUAUGCUCACUCCAUUUUGCUGUUAGAUUAGUUUAAAUUUCAAGAUUCAUGUCCCAAAUCAAUUAAAACAAACUAAUCUAACGGCAAUCCAUGAAGUGUGUUGAUGCACAAAAUCAGUGAUGACUUUGGAACAAUGUAAAGUGUCAAGUUUGUGACCUUCGCUCAGUUGCUCCGGUCACCUAGUAAGGAUAAUAUGUAAAGAGAUAGCGAAAGGGAAGCAAACACAAGAUGUACGUGGUUCACCAUAAAUUUGACUACAUCCAUGAAGUAGAGGAGUUCUCAUUAAUAGUGAAGGGUUUACACAAAUACAUAUGUUCAAGCAUAAUCAUCAUUAGUGAGCUCUAACGACUAGUUUAAGUACAAUAUUGACAUUAGAGAUUCAUUGUAGGAGAAUUGUUUUCUUUUAUAGUUCAGGAGAGUCUUCAACUUUUGUCCGCAGUCGAUGUGGGACUCGAUGAGCUUUAUUCUGAUGUUGACAUGUGUCAUGCUGUGAUUGACCUCCUGGUUGGAGGGAAACUCUUGUGCUUCGGCCGGGGUGCCUCAGUGGAUCCUUGAAACUAUGAAGUAGAUCGAUGCUUGGUAAUUUCGGGAUUGGUCAAGUAUGGUACAAACAGUGGUCCCCUAAGUUCUCGUGUGAGGAAAGCUUUUUGGUUGGGGACUUGAAAAAUCCAAGUCACUAAGUAAUCACGAAACUUCUGAGUACCGAAGUGUAGUAGCAUAUAGUGGGAGUCCCCCAAGUAUCCAAGUGAAGAGGAUAAUCGAAGGAGGUGGCUUGAUAUUCUUGAGUCAUUAGAAAAAAGACUUCAAAAAUUCUAUCCUCAUUUUUUUUUUUAUGAACUUAGCUCAAGUAUAUAUAUUUUUUCUUAAGCCCAAUUCCUUCUUUCUUUUGGUGAGAAAAGAAAAUGUGGUUGAAACCUUUUCCUUUGUGUACAUACCUUGAAUGGUUGAAGUUUUUGCCUUUGGGCACAUAGCUUGAGUGGUUGAAGCUUUGUAGGUGAAACUUUUUUGUUGAAACUUUGUAGGUGAAGCUUUUUCCUUUGGGCACAUAGAUUAAGUGGUUGAAACUUUGUAGGUGAAGCUUUUUGGUUGAACUUUGUGGGUGAAGCUUUGUAGGUGAAUUUUUUUGGUUGAAGCUCUAUAGGUGAAGCCUUUUGGUUGAAGCUUUGUAGGUGAAGCUUUUUGGUUGAAGCUUUGUAGGUGAAACUUUUUGGUUGAGGCUUUGUAGGUGAAACUUUUUGGUUAAAGCUUUUUUUAACCACAUAAAAAGAUUUUGCUUCCACAUUCUUUAGCAAAAGUGUGGAAGGCUUUUUGAAUUUUUUGUUGAAGCUUUCGGUUGAAGAUUUUGGUUGAAGCUUUUUUGAACCACAUAAAUAAAUUUUGCUUCCACACUCUUGAGCAAAAGUGUGGAAGGCUUUUUGAAUUUUUUGUAGUUAGGCAAAGUGUGAAGCUUCCUCCCUUCAAGGUGUGGGAGGCUUCUUCCCUCAAAGUGUGUGAAGGCUUUUUCCCUUUAAGGGUGUGGGAAGCUCUCUCCCUUGGAUGUGGGUAGCUCUUUCCCUUCAAGGGUGUAGGUAGCUAUCUCCCUUCAAGGGUGUGGGUAGCUAUUUCCCUUAGGUGUGAAAAGCUCUCUCCUUUCAAGGGUGUGGGAAGCUCCCUCCCUUCAAAGUGUGGUAAGCUCUACCCUUCAAAGUUGUGGGAACCUUCCUCCCUUCGACGUGUGGGAAACUUCCUUUCCUUCGAAGUAUGGGAAGCUCCCUCCCUUCAAAGGUGUGGGAAGCUUCCUCCCUUCAAAGUGUGGAAAGCUUCCUUCCCUUAAAGUGUGGGAAGCUCCUCCCUUCAAGGGUGUGGGAAGCUCUACCCUUCAAAAUGUGAGAAGCAUUUUAUAAGACUCCAUAAAUUGAUUUUGCUUCUACACUCUUGAGCAAGAAGGCUGAUGAGAUGACCUCUACCAACAAGAACUCGAAAAUCCUUGUUGACCGAGACUUGGAUAAAUAACUAGUCGGUCUUGAAGCAGUGUUGUUUAUCCAAACUGAAUGUGCUCCUUGGUCAUUUGAUUCUACAACUCCAAUGUUGUUUAUCCAAACUGAAGUUGUCACCGGUUGCCUUCACAAUGUUGUUUAUCCAAACUGGAGAUGUGUUGGCGAAAAAAAAAUAAAAAAUAAAAAUCUCAAGGUGUUUGAGAGGUUUACGUAGGGCAAUUGUGUGUUGAAUUGGAUGAGUUGUCCUCAUUGCAGAUUGUCCUAUAUUUAUAAGGGUGAACUUUCACGAUGACCAGAUAACCAAGUUACAGAGUUCUCUGCAAACCAUACCUUGUGAAAUAAUAAUCAUGAACUACCACGCAUUAUCCUUUGAAUUUUGGUGAUAUCGUAAUGUUAAUCAUUGAGAUGCAUUGGACCUUUUAAUCUUCAUUGUACAUCACCAUCUUAAUGUUUCAAACGGACAAAAAUGGCAUAUUCAUAUGCUAAUCAUCCAAAGUUGCAUCCUUGUACCAUUGUUCCACGUGGUUCUGGAUGCAAACCCAUUCAAAUAUGGAAUCCAUGCAACUGACUAGAUACAUUUUGAUUAGGAUAGAAUCCUAAAGCUACACGGAAAGCCCUCACAUAACUCUUCUUACUGCCGUGUUGAUUGUAAGGGGUUGGCAAGUAGCCAGCUAUGCAAUCUCUUUUAAUUUCUCCACAACCCGAUAAAACCUUUGAUUAUCUGCAAAAGGAUCCCACGCAUAACUCUGUAAGCUUUAAUGAUAUUUUCAAGAUAAUUAUUAUGAUUAAAAUCAAUAGUAAUGCCAAGAAAAAUCUCUUAAUUUUCAUAGUCAUCCGACGACCACAAUUGCUUGGGCCGAAAAUGCAAAAUCGGGUCCAAACAACCAUAUAAGACGAUUUUGCUUCCAAACUCUUGAGCAAGAGUGUAGAAGACAAUCUACAUGUUGUAGUUGUUGAAGGGUUGUUGAACCAUAUAAUACGAUUUUUCCUCCACACUCUUGAGCAAGAAUGUGGAAGGCUUUGUUGAGUUUGUAUAUGCCUUUUCCGAAUUCUAAGGCUUGAAAUUUUUCAACUGCUUAUGAAUGUUAAGAAUCCACAGGUGCAUGUUGUACUAUUCUUCCCUAGUUGAUGAAAAGAAGGUAAGUUCUUUCAUCACUUGGUUGGUGAGAAGAGUGGUGAGUUGUUGAGGCAAAAAUGUUUAAUAAAGUACUAGUUGUAUCUUCCACCACUUGGUUGGUGAUAAGAAGGUGAGUUCCUUGAUCACCUAGUUGGUAAGAAGAGUGGCAAGUUGCUGAAUCUCAAUAUUGUUUAUUAGAGUACUGGUUGUGCCCUUCAUCACCUGGUUGGUGAUAUGAAGGUGAGUUCCUUCAUCAUCUGGUUGGUAAGAAGAGUGGCAAGUUGCCAAAACUUAAAAUUGUUUCUUAGAGUAUUGGUUGUACUCUUCAUCACCUGGUUGGUGAAACAAAGAUGAGUGCUUCAUCACCUGGUUGGUGGAAAGAACGGCGAGUUACCAAGGUACAUUGUAGCACGUGCCAAAAGAAAAAAAGUGUAUGUUAACACCCUUUCGUAAUUAUGUAUGAAUGUUUUGGAGGGUAUGAAGUUUAUGUUGAUUGACAUAAGUAAUACUUAUGACAUGAGUGAUGUUCAUGACAUGCAUGUUGUUUAUGAAUGUUUUGCUGUGCAUGAAGGAAUCCAUUGUUUGGAUAUGUGAACCGUGUUGGUUAUACCACUUAGUUUCACUUACUUGGUGUUGAAGUACGUAUGUUGAUGCUUUAAGUUAAAGUAUAGAGGUAGGUUAGAGUUAGACCUAGUGUCCAGUGUUAGGAAUGCAAAAGACUUAGACGAAGUUGUCUGAAUUGCCUCUUCAUUAAAUAUUUUCCAAAUGGCUUGUGUUACAAAGGAUGUCAAACGGUUGAAGGUUGAAACAUUUGUUAUGCGUAUGCCUUUCUAUAAUAGCAUUUUCUUCAGUAUCCAGUCCUCCACUUUGAAAAAACGAUGUUUGACCCCAUGGUCAUAACAGUUGAAGGUACGUUCACCCCUGAUUGUCUUGAAACGAACCUUUAUUCCUCUUGUUGUAAUAAGCUUGUUGAGAGUAAAAAUUCUUCCUUUUGCCAAAAGGCAAAUAAGCCUGGUCACCUGGCAGGUUGCUAAGUGGGGCAGGAGGGGAUGCAAUGAGUGUUUGGAUGGCCAAAACCUUCUCACUUGGUAGAACUUGACAUUUACUCCCUACUUGUUGAUAGGGGUUUACCUUAUGAGGGUUCCCUUGGUAUGUCCUUGCCUCAGCAAAUGCAUGAUUGUAAGCUUGCGUCAUCACCUCAAAGUAAGUCUUCCAAGUGUUAGCAUUGAUCAUCUAAUUGAAGUAGAAUUCACGCAUGCCUACUGUGAAGGCCCUGAAUGUUGUUUUGUCAUCUGCCUCAGCACAACGACAGUACUCGUGGUUAAAGCGACCGACAUAUUCUCGCAAUGACUUGUUUGAUUUUUUACGAAUAGUGUAUAACUCAUUAGCAAAGUGUAAACGAUCAGCUUGGAAGAUAUGUUGAGCCACAAAGAGUCUCCUUAGCUCAGCAAAAGAAUCUAUCGUAUCAGGUUGAAGACCACAAUACCAAUUAAGAGUUCCACCAGAGAGAAUGGAGGGAAAAAUGAGAUAUCGUUCCUCAUCACUAUAUCUUCGAUAUGUUAUGGUGGAUUCAAAGAGGUGGAUAUGUUCAAUUGGAUUUUCUCUCUCUGAAUAAGAUUGCAAGCCAAGCUUCUAUUUUAUUUCUCCUCGUAGAAAAGUGCAAAGGAUCAUUUUUAUCAGAUGGCUUAGCCUUGGCUGAUUCCAGUCAGGUAUCCUAGCGUGACGUUCAGCCUUCAACUUGUUCACUUCCUCAAUGAGCUGCAAGAUAAGGGGGUCCUAAGUGGAGUCGGACAUCAUUAAUGAUUUCUUUUGUAGGUUUCCAUCAUUUCUUGAAAGUAGGGAAGAUCAGUCAAGGACAUCUGGCAUUUCCUUGGACUCAAUAUAUUGGCUAUUCUAAUGUGCUUAUUGAAAGUCCCCUGAGUCUCAUACGCCCUUUUGUUGCCGCAAGGCUUGUCGUUCCUUUCCUAGAUUAGGGGUUGGCCUAUGUUAUAAUAGAGGACUUAGCCCUUCAAUGACCCUUGGGUCUUUGAUCUUUGAGCCUAUAUGGAUAGAAUUUUCUCGACGCUAUCUCAAGAAGUCUCAACAGUCAAGGUAAACGGCUCUCGAUCAUUUUUUUUCUUUUGUAAAAAGAUGUCUUCCUCCAUAUAUUUUGCUUUAGUAUGAAGAAGUUGGGUUGAAAGAAGUCUCGUAUUGAUCGACAUUAUGGCGAAAAGAUCGUUCCUCAUUAAGAACGCCCAUGUUGAAGAUAUGUGAACUCUCGUGUUAGUGGGUACUCAUGUGGUGAUUCACAAUCACAGGGGUGAUAAGCUCGUAAGACUGAGUCUGUUUAGCCUCGUAGAGCAUCUCGAAGAGCUUUUAUAUUGUUCUUGGAAGAUCUCAUUUAUGAUCGCUAUCUUGUUGUUCUAAGCCUCUAGCUCUUCGACCCUGGCUUGAAGAGUAAACUUCUUUCUUUCCUUCCUUCGCCGCCUCACACUAGGAACUAGAGGAUGUUAUUCUGCGUGUUAUGGCUCCCUUCACUCCCCAUGUUGGAAAAUGAUGCCUAAUCAAAGGAGAGUGUACAAACGAUGGAAACCAGCUUGACAAAGCUGGGGAUAGUAGGAAUAAGUGUUGUUCCCACAGACGGUGCCAAAUGUUGAUGCAUAAAAUCAGUGAAGACUUUGGAACAACGUAAAGUGUUAAGUUUGUGACCUUCGCUCGGUUGCUUGGUCACCUAGUGAGGAUAAUAUGUAAAGAGAUAGAGAUAAGGAAGCAAACACAAGAUGUAUGUGGUUCACCCUAAGUUUGGCUACGUCCACGAAGUAGAUGAGUUCUCAUUAAUAGUGAAGAGUUUACAAAAAUACAUAGAUUGAAGCAUAAUCAUCAUUAGUGAGUUCUAAUGACUAGUUUUAGUACAAUAAUGAUAUUAGGGAUUCAUGUAGGAGAAUGGUCUUCUUUUAUAGUUGAUGAGAGUCUUCAGCUUUUGUCUGCGGUCGAUGUGAGACUCUAUGAGCUUUAUUCUGACGUUGACAUGUAUCGUGUUAUGAUUGGCCUUCUGGUUGGAGGAAAACUCUUGUGCUUCGACUGGGGUGCCUUAGCAUGAACCCCUCUGUGGAUCCUUAAAGGUAUAAAGUUGACCGAUGCUUGGUAGUUUCGGGAUUGGUCAAGUAUCGUACAAACAAAGUGUAUAACAGUAAAAAAUCUUAGAACUUUUGCCAAAAGCAUAGGCAAUUGACAAAAUAAAUAUAAGCCUGGAUCAUUUUUUUCCACACUGUAAUCGUGGGUACGAAAGAAGGUUCUCGCUUCUCAGUAGAAUCUGAAAUUACUCCCAUUUUCCCGAAGUCAUAGAGAUGCCAUAAAAUUGAGUUAUAUUCCUCACCGAUGCUAUCAUAGUAUCAUUACAGAAUGGAACCACAUUCUAUUCACAAGUGACAAAGACAAUGCCUUAAAAGGUUUCGCUAAUCUAAAUAACGGUUCAAAAAAUGUUCGUAUGUCAUACGCAUUUGAAUGGCACCGGUGGCAUUCUCGAGCGAUUUACCAUAAAUUAGGAUAAGGUGGAAAAUUAAUAAGUUCCUUAGAUCCAAAAUUUAGAAACCACAAAAUUAGUUUGAUGUCUAGUUUAAGCAAGAUAAGAGUACCAAGUAAUGUGUAAAUUAUGUAAUAUGUCAUCAAUAAAAAAUAAACACGUUAAUUAAUACUUAAUUAAUAAUCUAAUUAUCAACUAGCACAUAAUAUAAUUUACAAAAUAUAAUUUACAUACAUGAUCUCGUAGCAUUACCCAUAAUUUUAAUUUAAUCAUUGGAUGUGCUUUAAUGUGGCUAAAACAGUAAAACUCCUUGCAAGCAAAAGUAACAGCAACCAAAAUGGCGUUUUCUAACAAGCCAUGUCAGCUUCUUGGCCUUACUUCACGUGGCCGAUUUUGAAACGACAACAUUAUCACCGUCGUAUGUACUGCACGACUCGAUAAAAUCCCUAAGAAUGUCGUACAGAACUUGGGCCAUGCUGGGGUCGAAGAGCUCCACGCCAUGAAACCCCUCCUCGUCAAACUUGGCCACCACGUGCGCCCCACGUGACUCAAGUAACGCCACAAACUCUUUCUGCCUAUCCAUCAGCGGGUCCCCACCGUACCCUCUAACCAAACGCCUCGGCAACCGUUCGAUCCUCCCAUCCCCAACUCCCGCCGUCGGAUUACAAUACUCGUGAUCCCGAUCGACUCCCUUUGGCAAAGCCGUGGCCCACAUCAAGUCGUUAACGACCAGCUGGCAAAAUGUCCGAUCGUUGAUCAACCUCAUCUCGGAUUCAGUCCUAUGGACCCCACCGAAAAAAGGCUGGUUUAGUAUCAGCCCUCGGAUCUUCAUCGGCAAGAGAUCAUCCACCUCCGUGGAAGUAGAUGAUGAGAGGGAGGUUGGGGUUUGGAGGGUGGGGUUUGAAGAGCCUGAGGAAGGUUUUGUUUUCUGGGUUUAAGGGAGUGUCCUUGGAGAGGACGAGUUGGGGAGAGUUGGAGUCUGACUCGGCGGCGGUGGCGGGAAUGGACUCGGUGGGGGUGGGAGUUGGGGAGACGGUGGGGAAAGGGGUGAAGCGGGAAGACUGCUGCAGGGAUUGUUCCUAGGGUUUCUUUUCAGUCAAUCUCUUGGAAACAUAUCUUUUUGGAGAGGCCAUUUUCCUUGGAGAUUUUGCCGCGUAAGACUCAAUAUUAGUGAUACUUUUAUAUGGGAUCGCACUCUGUUAUGAGUGAUAGGGCUAGUUUGGUAUUGUAAGUGCUAAGGCUAGUUUGGGAUUGCACCCAUAAAUAUGUCUCAUUGCAAACCUCAUCCCUUCGCUCUUCUCACCCAUCUUUCACUCAAACUCUCCCAUCCCCAAGUUUUAAAAACCCAAACAAAUAAAUAAUGAAAUUUCAAACAAGGCAAGCUUACCAAGAGAAGGGCGCCAAGCCGGGAGAACACAUGUGGCAUGAAAAAAGCACUUUACAGAAAGAAAAUGAAUGAUCAUGCAAUAUUUACACGUUGCUGGGCCCGACUUAAACUAGCUCAGUUUCUCCUUUAAAGAGUUGGGCCUCCAUCCUCCCCAAUCUAUGGUACCCAACUCAAUAAGAAAACAUUAAGAAAUGUUGGACCAAGGCGGUAAAGUAAAAGUGAUGCUCACUCCAUCAUUGAUUGCCGUUAAAUUAGUUUAAAUCUUAAAUCAAUUACACCAAACUAAUCUAACGGCAACUAAUGGGGCGCAUAAGGGUAAAAAAAUCUAGAAUUUUCGCCAAAAACAUAGGCAAUUGACAAAAUAUAUAUAAGCCAGGAUCAUUUUUUUUCACUGUCUAAUCUGGAUAUGAAAGAAAGUUUUCACUAGUCAGUAGAAUCUGAAUUUACUCUCAUUUUCCCUUUUACAAGUCACAGAGAUGCCAUAAAAUUGGGUUGUAUUCCUCACCAAGCCGUCAUGACAGAAUGGAAUCACAUUCUAUUCACAAGUGACAAAGACAAUGCACUUAAAAGGUUUUGCUGAUCUAAGUACCAGUUCAAACAAUGUUCGUAUGUCAUACCGUAUGACUCAUACGUAUUCAAAUGGCACCGGUGACAUUCUCGAGCGAUUUACCAUGGUAAAUUAGGAUAGAAUGAAAUUUAAAAAGUUCAUUGGAUCCAAAAUUUAGAAACCACAAAAUUAGUGUGAUGUCUAGGAAUUGAAGAUUUCCAGCAUCCUAUUCAGCUCAAAAAAAAAAACACUUGCUUCAUUCCUAUGAGCAAUGCAGUUUGAUCACGUAAUGUGUAGUAGUGAUGGGGUGGCCAAAAAACACUUGCGUCAUUUCUCAAAAUAGUACAAAGCACAGCCGAAACACAAGUCUACAAGCAAGUCUCUCUCGUACAUUCCACCACCACAAAAAGCACUAGGCUUCUCAUACAACACUAACAACAGUAAGAGAGAAUUUAAUUCUUCCAAACAGAAUGUGCCAUGGCAAGUGCCUUCGCCCAUGAGCGGUAGG